AUGAAAUAUGAGCAAUGGGCGCGGCAGAUUAAGCCUCUCCCCCUUGUGGGGAC
rnacentral:sRNA from 1 species